rnacentral:tRNA from 1 species
UGGGGCGUGGUGUAACGGUAACACGUCUGGCUCUGACCCAGUUGUUCCAGGUUCGAAUCCUGGCGCCCCAACCA